UACGUAGGGGGCAAGCGUUAUCCGGAUUUACUGGGUGUAAAGGGAGCGUAGACGGCAGCGCAAGUCUGGAGUGAAAUGCCGGGGCCCAACCCCGGAACUGCUCUGGGAACUGUCCGGCUGGAGUACGGGAGGGGCAGGCGGAAUUCCUGGUGUAGCGGUGAAAUGCGUAGAUAUCAGGAGGAACACCGGCGGCGAAGGCGGCUUACUGGACUGUAACUGACGUUGAGGCUCGAAGGCGUGGGGAGCAAACAGG
rnacentral:rRNA from 1 species